CACGACACGACUUACAGGAGCACCACCUGAAGCGGACGUGCUGUGAGUUGUCAAGUCCAACGCCUUAGAAACAUUUACCUUUUAAAGCUGAAGUCUACUCACUUUUGAUGUACAGUCCAGUUAUUAUAUUCAAGUCAUUUACUUUAAAAAAUCUUUUUUACACCCAAAAUUAACUUACCACAUUUUCCGGAGAGAUAAGCGCUGGAUGAUCGGUCGUUCAGUCUGUUUCAUUCAGAGUUCAUCCAAGACGAUGUGCUUCGCCGUAACAUAACAGACAAACGACAUGGGAUAGGACAUGAAGUGACGCAGGAUUUAAAAAAAGUUAUUUCCGUUUUUGUUUAAAAAACUAGCAUAAUCAUACCUAAUAGAAAAUUUUAAUGUGUACUCAUUUAUAAUACACAGUAUAUCUCACAUACUUAGACAUAAAUUGUAUACUCUACUCAUUUACUCCGCUUUUUAAAAUUCUUAUCAUAGCCAAUAAAUAUAUCAGGGUCUUGUUUUGGUGAUUGUCAUUAUAAAAUGGCAAUAAAAUAAAACCUUUAAUAAUGUUA